rnacentral:rRNA from 1 species
UACAGAGGUCUCAAGCGUUGUUCGGAUUCAUUGGGCGUAAAGGGUGCGUAGGCGGCGCGGUAAGUCGGGUGUGAAAUCUCGGGGCUUAACUCCGAAACUGCAUUCGAUACUGCCGUGCUUGAGGACUGGAGAGGAGACUGGAAUUUACGGUGUAGCGGUGAAAUGCGCAGAUAUCAGGAGGAACACCAAUGGCGAAGGCAGCUCGCUGGGACGGUACUGACGCUGAGACGCGAAAGCGUGGGGAGCAAACAGG